rnacentral:lncRNA from 1 species
UAUACAUUGUAAAAAGAGUCCUGCUAUCUUGUUAAUUUAGAGAAUAUUCUCUAAAAUAUAUGUUUACUCCGUGUGUAUUUGCUACUGCUCCUUACAAUCAUUAUAAAUACACUGUGAGCAGCGGUGAAACCUUCUAGCUCAAUUCGCCGAGUCCCUCUGAGGAAGGUCUGCACCUAUACAUAGUAAGUAUCAAGGACAAGUGUCAGUACACACUGGCGUGCCUCAUAACUGCCCUGAGGAAAUUCACUUCUGAUGGCCACAGACAAGGUAAAGUAGACUGAGUCUCUGUCUCUGCAAAGCGAGACUGACAGGAGAUUCUUAGUUCUUCUCAAACGCUGCUUUAGGGAUGUUGGUGGGACUCGCAGGAGAUGGGCAGACUCAGGAGAACGUCUCCCGACACCGUCUCUAGAGCUGUGGGUCAAGACAGGCUGGAGCAGAAGCCUUGAAAGCAGAUAGGAAACCAACGCAGUGGUCUUUCGUGAUUGCUGGGAAACUGAAGUAAAAUACGGAAAGCUGACAGCAAGAGGGAAUACUUCUCCCCAGCCUGCAGCCUUGUUGCACUUAAGGAGGUCCUCUCUUUCUUCCCUUCUUCAACAAUAAGGUAUUGCAUAUCUCUUUCCUUUCUAUUUCAGCAAUUAAACUUAUGUACAGCAAUGUCCGUAUCUUUAGCUGGG